GAUGAAGAACGUAGUGAAAUGCGAUACGUAGUGUGAAUUGCAGAAUUCAGUGAAUCAUCGAAUCUUUGAACGCACAUUGCACCUCUCGGUAUUCCGGGAGGUAUGCCUGUUCGAGCGUCAUUUGUACCCUCAAGCUCUGCUUGGUGUUGGGUGCUUGUUCCGCCUCUGUGUGUGAACUCGCCUCAAAACAAUUGGCAGCCGGCGUACUUGUUUCGGAGCGCAGCACAUUUUGCGAUCCAGAUCAACGUACAGCGGCAUCCAAGAAGCCUUAUUUAACGCUCUUGACCUCGGAUCAGGUAGGGAUACCCGCUGAACUUAAGCAUAUCAAUAAGCGGAGGA
rnacentral:misc_RNA from 1 species